rnacentral:rRNA from 1 species
GACGAACGCUGGCGGCGUGCUUAACACAUGCAAGUCGAACGAAGGGCGAUGGAAGCUUCCUUCUAUCAAUUUUAGUGGCGAACGGGUGAGUAACGCGUAAUAAACCUGCCCUUCAGAGGGGGACAACAGUUGGAAAGGACUGCUAAUACCGCAUACGAUCUAAUCUCGGCAUCGAGGAGAGAUGAAAGGUGGCCUCGAUUUAUAAGCUAUCACUGACGGAGGGGAUUGCGUCUGAUUAGCUAGUUGGUGGGGUAAGGGCCCACCAAGGCGAUGAUCAGUAGCCGGUCUGAGAGGAUGAACGGCCACAUUGGGACCGAGACACGGCCCAGACUCCUACGGGAGGCAGCAGUGGGGAAUCUUCCGGAAUGGACGAAAGUCUGACGGAGCAACGCCGCGUGAGUGAUGACGGCCUUCGGGUUGUAAAGCUCCGUUAAUCGGGACGAAAGGCCUUCUUGCGAACAGUUAGAAGGAUUGACGGUACCGGAAUAGAAAGCCACGGCUAACUACGUG